rnacentral:rRNA from 1 species
AGAGUUUGAUCCUGGCUCAGAUUGAACGCUGGCGGCAGGCCUAACACAUGCAAGUCGAGCGGUAACAGAGAGUAGCUUGCUACUCUGCUGACGAGCGGCGGACGGGUGAGUAAUGCUUGGGAAUAUGCCUUAUGGUGGGGGACAACAGUUGGAAACGACUGCUAAUACCGCAUGAUGUCUACGGACCAAAGUGGGGGACCUUCGGGCCUCACGCCAUAAGAUUAGCCCAAGUGGGAUUAGCUAGUUGGUGAGGUAAUGGCUCACCAAGGCGACGAUCCCUAGCUGGUUUGAGAGGAUGAUCAGCCACACUGGGACUGAGACACGGCCCAGACUCCUACGGGAGGCAGCAGUGGGGAAUAUUGCACAAUGGGCGCAAGCCUGAUGCAGCCAUGCCGCGUGUGUGAAGAAGGCCUUCGGGUUGUAAAGCACUUUCAGUAAGGAGGAAAGGUUAAGUGUUAAUAGCGCUUAGCUGUGACGUUACUUACAGAAGAAGCACCGGCUAACUCCGUGCCAGCAGCCGCGGUAAUACGGAGGGUGCGAGCGUUAAUCGGAAUUACUGGGCGUAAAGCGUACGCAGGCGGUUUGUUAAGCGAGAUGUGAAAGCCCCGGGCUCAACCUGGGAACUGCAUUUCGAACUGGCAAACUAGAGUGUGAUAGAGGG